GAUGAACGCUGGCGGCGUGCUUAACACAUGCAAGUCGAGCGAUGAAGUUUCCAUCGGGAAAUGGAUUAGCGGCGGACGGGUGAGUAACACGUGGGUAACCUGCCUCAUAGGGUGGAAUAGCCUUUCGAAAGGAAGAUUAAUACCGCAUAAUGUUGAAAGAUGGCAUCAUCAUUCAACCAAAGGAGCAAUCCGCUAUGAGAUGGACCCGCGGCGCAUUAGCUAGUUGGUGGGGUAACGGCCUACCAAGGCGACGAUGCGUAGCCGACCUGAGAGGGUGAUCGGCCACAUGGGGACUGAGACACGGCCCAGACUCCUACGGGAGGCAGCAGUGGGGAAUAUUGCACAAUGGGGGAAACCCGGAUGCAGCAACGCCGCGUGAGUGAUGAAGGUUUUCGGAUCGUAAAGCUCUGUCUUUGGGGAAGAUAAUGACGGUACCCAAGGAGGAAGCCACGGCUAACUACGUGCCAGCCGCCGCCGUAAGAC
rnacentral:rRNA from 1 species